GUCCACACAAACCCAACCCUCCCUGGCAACGCGGCGGCGGCGGCGAGAUCCCAGGCGACGCGGGCCCUCCAGGCAGCGCGGGAUCCCAGGCGGCGCGGCGGUGGCGGCGUGGCGGUGGCGGCGGGAUCCCCCUAGGCGGCGCUCCCUCACGAGCAGCACUCCCGUGCCCGCAAGCGGCAGCGGUGGCGGGAUCCUAGGCGCCCCCAUCAGCGGGCUCGAACGGGAUCUCGGCUAGGCGCCACCCUGUGGUUGGAGCACGGCUGACCCCUGCCGGCGGCGGCGGAACGCUGCGCCAGCGGGCGGAAUAGGCUUGCGUGUAAGCGGCGGGCGUGGGGGUUCGGGCGCGCGCGGUUCUGCCCACCCCUUCAUCCUGCCCCGGAGGCCGCGGCAUCCUAGAGCGUGCCCCGUUGGCAAUCGCGUUGGCCUCCUCCGUUCCCUCGCUUCCUGCGUACACGCCGCCGAGACUAUGCACGAUACUCUGAUUGCUCAUGGGCCUGGAUGAGCGGAGCAGGGCCGCGGAUUCACUCUCGUCGGUGCUCGCCGUCUACGACGGCUUCUGCAACCUCAAGCAGGUUUAUAUGCCAUCAUACAAAGAUCUCUACAUUAGUAUAUAAUUCUCCACACAUAUUCAAAUGUUGGGAUGGUGGUAAGUUGGCUACUUUUAUGCCCUGGUCAGAUCAAUACAUUAAGAGCUGGGUUUUUUUGGCAUAAAACUUAUAUUUUUGAUGUUGAAGCCGCUUCAACGCGACAUCAUUUGUUGCUUGAGCCCAUGCUUCUAUGAUUUUUGUCACUGCUUUUUAUGCAUAGAUACUAUAUAUCUUGAGCGUCUGAACAUAGAUACUAACUUGUAUCCUAUGUUUCUAUGAAUUCCCUCACUGGUUUUUAUACCUUUUUGUUGCUUCAUGUAGUCGCUUAGAUGUAUGUGAUUGCAAUCAUGUAUUUAUUUUGUUAUGUUUUCUCAUAUUUCUAUGACUGCACUCACUUAAUUUUAUGCAUUUUUUAAUUGCGAGGUGUGUUGUUGACAAGGAUCUGUCAGACCACGACUUCCACAACUGCGCGGAUGUGUUCUUGUGUUUUUGUUUCUAUGAUUCUCUGUAAAUGAUUCUAUGCGUGGUAUAAAUUUUCUACGCGGAUGUGUUCCAGUGUUCUAUGAUUCUGUGUAAAUGGUUCUAUGCAUGGUGUAACUGAUUCUAUGCCAGCGUCA